rnacentral:snoRNA from 1 species
AUCUUUUAUAAGACAUUUUCAAUUCUAGAGAAGAAGAGCAAAAGACAUGAUGGGAUACACUAAAAACAACCAGCUGAAAAAGGU